rnacentral:rRNA from 1 species
UACAGAGGAUGCAAGCGUUAUCCGGAAUCACUGGGCAUAAAGCGUCUGUAGGUGGUUUGGUAAGUCUGCUGUUAAAGACUGGGGCUCAACCCCAGAAAAGCAGUGGAAACUGCCAGACUUGAGUGUGGUAGAGGUAAAGGGAAUUCCUAGUGUAGCGGUGAAAUGCGUAGAGAUUGGAAGGAACAUCAGUGGCGAAGGCAGCUUACUGGACAAUAACUGACGCUGAGGCACGAAAGCGUGGGUAGCAAAUGGG